GACGAACCGUGCAAACGUUGUUCGGAUUCACUGGGCUUAAAGGGCGCGUAGGCGGGUGGUCAAGUCAGGGGUGAAAUCUUUCAGCUCAACUGGAAAACAGCUUCUGAUACUGACUGUCUUGAGGGAGGUAGGGGCAUGUGGAACUUCCGGUGGAGCGGUGAAAUGCGUAGAUAUCGGAAGGAACGCCGGUGGCGAAAGCGACGUGCUGGACCUUUUCUGACGCUGAGGCGCGAAAGCCAGGGGAGCAAACGGG
rnacentral:rRNA from 1 species